UCAUAUUUUGAUUCAUUUUCUCAUGAUAAGACAGAAAACAUAUUUCUUUUUUGUUAUUAGGUGCCUUAAUUAAUUUAAGGAACAAUGAAAAUCAACUUGCAUUUGAUUUGGCAAAAGAACCGAAAAUCGCUGCCCUUCUACAGUGUUCUGAUAUUUCAGAAAAUGGUGAUGACUAUUUGGAUGAUACAGAUGGAUCAGAAUCUGAUUAACCUCAAUGCUGUUUUUUUUUGAUAGUUUUUAUAUAAAAAUUUGGAUAAAGAAAAUUUGAGGGAUGAAACCUCAACAUUUGUAAUUAUAUACAUACGUUAUUCUUGAAGAUAAAACAAUACAAAUAAAUGCCAAUAUGGAAAAUAGACCAACCAAGUAAAUAGCAGAACUUCCUAAUUCGAUUUUAGAUCACUUCUUACUCAGAUGCAUGCAUUUCUAAAGAAAAAA